rnacentral:rRNA from 1 species
AGUGAAUGCUGGCGGUAGGCCUAACACAUGCAAGUCGAACGGCAGCACAGGAGAGCUUGCUCUCUAGGUGGCGAGUGGCGGACGGGUGAGGAAUACAUCGGAAUCUGCCCAGUCGUGGGGGAUAACGUAGGGAAACUUACGCUAAUACCGCAUACGACCUUCGGGUGAAAGAGGGGGAUCGCAAGACCUCUCGCGAUUGGAUGAGCCGAUGUCGGAUUAGCUAGUUAGCGGGGUAAUGGCCCACCAAGGCGACGAUCCGUAGCUGGUCUGAGAGGAUGAUCAGCCACACUGGAACUGAGACACGGUCCAGACUCCUACGGGAGGCAGCAGUGGGGAAUAUUGGACAAUGGGCGCAAGCCUGAUCCAGCCAUACCGCGUGGGUGAAGAAGGCCUUCGGGUUGUAAAGCCCUUUUGUUGGGAAAGAAAUCUUUCAGGCUAAUACCCUGGGAGGAUGACGGUACCCAAAGAAUAAGCACCGGCUAACUUCGUG